GUGGGGAAUAUUGGACAAUGGGCGAAAGCCUGAUCCAGCCAUGCCGCGUGUGUGAAGAAGGUCUUCGGAUUGUAAAGCACUUUAAGUUGGGAGGAAGGGCAGUAAGUUAAUACCUUGCUGUUUUGACGUUACUAACAGAAUAAGCACCGGCUAACUUCGUGCCAGCAGCCGCGGUAAUACGAAGGGUGCAAGCGUUAAUCGGAAUUACUGGUCGUAAAGCGCGCGUAGGUGGUUUUGUAAGUUGGAGGUGAAAUCCCCGGGCUCAAACUGGGAACUGCCUCCAAAACUGCAUGACUAGAGUACGGUAGAGGGUAGUGGAAUUUCCUGUGUAGCGGUGAAAUGCGUAGAUAUAGGAAGGAACACCAGUGGCGAAGGCGACUACCUGGACUGAUACUGACACUGAGGUGCGAAAGCGUGGGGAGCAAACAGGAUUAGAUACCCCUGUAGUCC
rnacentral:rRNA from 1 species